GACGAACGCUGGCGGCGUGCCUAAUACAUGCAAGUAGAACGCUGAAGCUUGGUGCUUGCACCGAGCGGAUGAGUUGCGAACGGGUGGGUAACGCGUAGGUAACCUGCCUGGUAGCGGGGGAUAACUAUUGGAAACGAUAGCUAAUACCGCAUAAUAGUAGAUGUUGCAUGACAUUUGCUUAAAAGGUGCAAUUGCAUCACUACCAGAUGGACCUGCGUUGUAUUAGCUAGUUGGUGAGGUAACGGCUCACCAAGGCAACGAUACAUAGCCGACCUGAGAGGGUGAUCGGCCACACUGGGACUGAGACACGGCCCAGACUCCUACGGGAGGCAGCAGUAGGGAAUCUUCGGCAAUGGACGGAAGUCUGACCGAGCAACGCCGCGUGAGUGAAGAAGGUUUUCGGAUCGUAAAGCUCUGUUGUAAGAGAAGAACGAGUGUGAGAGUGGAAAGUUCACACUGUGACGGUAUCUUACCAGAAAGGGACGGCUAACUACGUG
rnacentral:rRNA from 1 species